GCUUGCUUCCGCGGCACAUAUUAAAAUUGGAACGAUACAGAGAAGAUUAGCAUGGCCUCUGCGAAGAGGUGACAUGCCAAUUCAUGAAGUGUUCCAUAUGUUU
ensembl:snRNA U6 U6 spliceosomal RNA